rnacentral:rRNA from 1 species
GACGAACGCUGCGGCGUGCUUAACACAUGCAAGUCGAACGGAAAGGCCCUGCUUUUGUGGGGUGCUCGCGUGGCGAACGGGUGAGUAACACGUGAGUAACCUGCCCUUGACUUUGGGAUAACUUCAGGAAACUGGGGCUAAUACCGGAUAGGAGCUCCUGCUGCAUGGUGGGGGUUGGAAAGUUUCGGCGGUUGGGGAUGGACUCGCGGCUUAUCAGCUUGUUGGUGGGGUAGUGGCUUACCAAGGCUUUGACGGGUAGCCGGCCUGAGAGGGUGACCGGCCACAUUGGGACUGAGAUACGGCCCAGACUCCUACGGGAGGCAGCAGUGGGGAAUAUUGCACAAUGGGCGGAAGCCUGAUGCAGCAACGCCGCGUGCGGGAUGACGGCCUUCGGGUUGUAAACCGCUUUCGCCUGUGACGAAGCGUGAGUGACGGUAAUGGGUAAAGAAGCACCGGCUAACUACGUG